CCCCCCCCCCUCCCGGAGGCUGAGGCGUGACCCUUAACAGAGCGCAGAGCCCUGGGCUUCUAGCCCGGACCGAGUCCUGGGCACAGGGAGGACUGGAUUCCACUGUGUCUCCCUGAAGCUGUAGGACUCCCGCGACAGCCUGGAGCCAGGCUCUCUCAAGUCAUGUCAAGAGGCCAGUUUAAUCCGGGGCUCGAAGGUCGCUGUUACUGAUCAGAACAACUUGUCGGUGACCCUGAACAAGCUUCUUGACCUGCGUGCACCUCAACUUCCCCAGGAAACAGAGAUGGCCACCAACCCUAAGGAUGCCGGAGCUGGAGGCGGGGUCCGGCCUCGUGCACUAUGGCUGUCUGGGUCAACAGCACAGCACACCCCCAGGCCUUGAACUCUGAACAGCGCCUCCACUGCUCCCUGAAGCCCCAGUGCCAGCAGCAGGGACCUGCGGCAGCUUCCCAGCGCCAUCCCCUCCGUCUCAGGCCACCUCUUGCCCUCUUCCCCUGCCUCUGAGCCCCUUGGCCGGCCGGUUCCUUCCUCCCCAUCCGUGGACAGGCUCAGGCUUCCAGGCACUUCCCCAUCAGAAACGCUCAGCUGCCCUUCACCCUUUGCUCCGGGAACCCAAACUCUCAAGGAACCCGCUCUCCCUCUCCUCCCCAUGGAAGCCACCACAACCCAGCUCACUGUCCCUUGGUCCCCAGUGGGCACGGCUCCAGCCUCCUGUCUCUGGAGCCAGCCUCCUUCUCAUCCUGAAGAUCCUGCAGCCUGAUGAACUCUGAAACGCCUCAAGUCCCAGUUGCACAGAUUACCAGCCACGUGGCCCCCAAUUCCCCAAGCCGUCUGCACCGUGGUCUUUUCAUCCAAAGUCUGCUGAUAACCACACCUACACUUCGUGGGGCUGCUGGCGAGAACCAUGCUGUGAACCACAGGCUAGUUGUUGGGCCCAGGUCUCUCCGGGUGUGUGUGUGGGGUCUCUGCCUGUGUAAGCAAUCCGAGGAAGCGUGUUGGUUCAUACUGGUGGCUGACACAUCGCACGGUGGGAGUGACUAAUCGCACUCCAGGAUGGCCAACCCAUCACAGGGUCCCGGGGCUCCUGGAGACAACCGGCCAAAGCCGUGUGCAUGUAAAAGGGUCAGGAAAGGAGUGGGUCCAGGAUUGGGGUGCCCAGCCUGGAUGGCACUCUCGGCUCUGCUUCCGGCCCAGCCACCAGAGGCGAAGGAGAAGGCAGAGCAUGGACCUUGAGCACGUCAGCUGUGAUUAUUUCCUGCUUCUUUCAGUUCCUUCUUCCCUUCAUCUCCCGGCCAACUUCCCUACGCCCUCGUUCAGGCUGCGCGAUGGGGUUCGAGCCCCUGCCUUGACCUGCCAACUCUCAUUCUUCCCUCCCCGGGGCCUGUGCUGUCCUGUCGUGGUAGGAGCCAUCGACUCAGCGGGGUGGGGGUGGGGGGGGGGGGAGUUCGGGGCAGAACCUGGCAGCAAGGUGGUCACUGUCCUCCGCAGGCUGUUUGUGAAGGGGGUGGGGUGGUCUUGGGAGCGCAGCCGUGAAGACGGACGCCAGGCCACACAAGCCGCGCGACUCCCUCCUCAUCACCCUGCCGCCCCAGCCCAGCGCUUCUCCGUGGGGGUGGCGCUGGCCCCCAGGGGGACGUCUGGCAGCCUCUGGAGACAUUUCUGUCACAACCGAGGGGGUUGCUACUGGCAUCGGGUGGGCAGAGGCUGGCGGGGCAACGCCUCAUCCUACAACCCAGAAUGAGCAGGCUCCGCGUGGGCCUCCGACCACUUGGGUUCCAGAUACUCUGAGGAAGCGGACCAAGGCUCCAAGCCCUCUCCCGAGAAGAGUGCACAUGCGCACGUGCAGUUACUACACUUUACAACAGGAUCUCUGGAAGUGCUCGUAACCCCCCGCCCCGUGGUUGUCUGUCCAUCCAUCCCGGAGGAGAUUCCGGCUCUGCUGUGCUGCUGGUCUAGACGCCACAGUGGGGCACCUGCACUGGAGUCUGCCCUCCGCGCCCUCCUCGCCUUCCUCCUUUCAAACCAACGGGCUCAGUGGGAGUCAGACAGACAGGCGCUCUGUGAAAGAGAGGGAUUCGAGGUAAACACGUCCCGCUCUGCCCUGCCCACCCCCCACCCCCGGCGGCCUCUCCCUGCCCCUCUCGCCCUCCCUUCAGCCCCUGGCCGCUUCUGCCCCUCGUGUGAGGCCUCAGCUCUAGAACAGCGCCAGCCCUCGGAAGCAGGACGCGCUCACCGGUGGGUAGCUGUCCCCACGUCUCAGGCACAGUGGCAGGGAGGAGGUGACCACGAAGGCGAUGUGGUGUUCCCUAAGGCCCCAGAUCUGGAGCAUCAUCGCCCUGGUCCCACAGAGCCGGGCCUACCGAGAAGACACGGACGAGGCUAUGGGGGCAGCUGGGCCCCACCUGACCGUGGCCAAGUCACCCUACUUGCAGGACCUGUUACCUCAUCUGAAGGAGAGGGGAGUCCGCGCACUCUUCACCAGCACCCUUCCAGCGGGGAUGGGGUUCUCGCCUCUGUCUUCCGCCAUCCUCGGGGCCAUCCUAUCGACCCUUCGCCCCUCCAAAGCUCCACAAACAUCCCCUCGACACAUAAACCAAAAUGAAAAGCUACAAAGGACGCUGCUUAUAACAAGGUUUUAAUAAAAUAAAAAGUUCAAGUGCUUUCAA